CAGUCGCCGCGGUAAUACGUAGGGUGCAAGCGUUAAUCGGAAUUACUGGGCGUAAAGCGUGCGCAGGCGGUUUUGUAAGACAGAGGUGAAAUCCCCGGGCUCAACCUGGGAACUGCCUUUGUGACUGCAAGGCUAGAGUACGGCAGAGGGGGAUGGAAUUCCGCGUGUAGCAGUGAAAUGCGUAGAUAUGCGGAGGAACACCGAUGGCGAAGGCAAUCCCCUGGGCCUGUACUGACGCUCAUGCACGAAAGCGUGGGGAGCAAACAGGAUUAGAUACCCGAGUAGUCCCUGUCUCUUAUAA
rnacentral:rRNA from 1 species